rnacentral:lncRNA from 1 species
AAUUUACAUACAUCAAAGUUUACUUCCCCAGGUACGUGACCUUCAAAUACAUUCCUUACAAUAUCUGACAAUAGAUUCCAUUGUCUUACUAACUAUAACCAUUAACUCAUAAUAUAAACUCAUUCGAACAGCUUUCCUUUCCCCUUGUUCGUGCCUGAGCCUUCAGGUUGCUCAUACAUAACUGAAAACAUUUAAUUUAAGCAAGGAUGAGCAUUUGAGUGCCCAGCAAGUAAUAGCAAUUAUAUAUAUAAGCUGAAAGAAUAUAAGUAUUCUCUUUACAUAACACUUCUACAACGAAUCGAAAGUUGUGAAGUAAUAUGUACUGAUAAAAAAUUCACAUAACAACUCUCUUUCAAUUUCUUGAGAUUAGGCUCCACCAAUGAAUAGGGUUUAAGAAACAUACUAUGAACAUU